UGUACCAUGCUGGUAGCCAGUGUGUGGUAGGCUUUGCUGGUGACCAGCGUUGUGCCUCA
ensembl:miRNA